rnacentral:lncRNA from 1 species
AGGAGCCCGGGGAAGCACACUUUGUGCCAAGGAGUGAGCCGGGGGCACAGAGAGAUGAGUGGCGGACAAGGCGUGGGGGGCUUGGGGUGGGGGGAAGCUGUAUCCGCCGCUUCUCAAACAAGGACCCUGGGCGGGAGACCCUGAGCCGCUGCUCAAACUUACGCUGCCCCGUAGGGCUGCUUAGUUUUCGCCGUGCAUCUAUCAGGUUGCCUCUGGACUUUGGGAUUCCUCUGGCUUCCGAGCCCCCGGGCGUCCAGAGAAGGACCUAACAGGGUUUUCCCAUCUAGGUGUAUGUGAUAUGGGGGUGGGUGUGUGUGUGUAGGAAGAGAGGUGUGAGGGGGUGGUGCUUAAAGUGAAGGGAGGCUGCAGGGCUUGGUCUCGCCUUGGAUAGCGCACCGCUUGCAACUACUCUGCAUAUCCUACCUUUGCUUCGUUUCUCAUUCCAACCUACACCCCGCCACCGCCCUCGCUCGUUCUAUGACUUAAGGCAAAAGUUACUUAAACUCUCUGUCCCUUAAUUUUUAUCAGAAGUAAAAUAAAAUGUGGGUAAUAAGAGUCCUUCCUUCUUAGAAUUGUUAUGAGAAAUAAAGAAGUUAAAUAUACGUAAAUUGCUUAGAACAAUUUCUGGUCACUGGUAAAUUCUGUACAGGUGUUAAUUUUAUUAUUAACCCACAGCUUCUGUAUUAACUUAACAUUUCCUCUUUUCCGGGGAGUUUUAUGGUUAGGACCUUUCCUCUCUACCUCUUUCACUUGGCCUUCCUUCCUUUCUCUGACCAAUUGGUGGCACUCAUGAUUUUCUAAGCAAUUUCAAACAGCGACUAAAAACUCUCCCCAAGGGGCAUCUCGCCUAUGGAGAUCUCCCAUAUAUUACACCCAAGAUCUCCCAUAUAUCUCCCAUAUAUUGCACAACUAUGGGAGCAAGAUGCCAAUCCCAGACAGUUACUGUGUUCCUCCCUUGUGGGACUGACUGCCCUGUUCCACGUGUCUCCCCUGCUAAGCCCAUGCAAGAUGUCACUCCCUUAUGAGGAAAGUACUUGUAUUGGAAGGGUUCACCCCCUUUACACUCUGAGUUUCCUGAGACCAGAGACCAUGCCUUUAUCCCCAGUGCCUGGCACAGUUUAGUCAUGCGAUAAAUGGUUGUUGAACCCACAUGUCCAUCCACAGAGAACUGGCUGAAUAAACCACGGUACAGCCACACAAUGCAGUUCUGUGCAUCUAUACAAAGGAAUGAAGACCAUCUCUGUGGAGGCCAUGGAACCCUAGGAUAUAUUAAGCGAAAAAAGCUUGCCUCCCUCCUAAGAAGGAUGGGUGCAUUUACUUACAUUUUAUUUAUUUUUUUUCUUCUGUGCCUGUGGUGUCUGGAAGUUCCUGGGCAAGGGAUUUGAACCUGUGCCACAGCAGUGACACAAGCUGCUGCAGUGACAAUGCUAGGUCCUUAAUCUAUUGUGCCAUAAGGGAACUCCAUUUCCUUGCAUUUUAAAUAAGCAGCAAUGGAAGUAUAAAUUACAAACUAAUAAAAAGUGUUAUGUAUAAGAAAAGAAGAAGGAAAAAAUGGGUAUGGAAGCUAGACUUCUUUUCAUAUACUCUGUGUUAUAGUUUUGACUUUAGCAUCAUCUAAGUAUUUUACAUAAUUAUUUUAAAGACUUCCCACUGUAGUGCAGUGGGUUAGGGUGUAGGUUGCAGCUGCAGCUCAGAUUUGAUCCAUGGCCAGAGAACUUCUGUAUGCCACUGGUGUAAACAACAUAUAAAUAGAAACCAAGGUCUUCAGUGAAAGAUAAAGAGAUACAAGUAUCAAAUCAACGAAGUUGGGAGUUCCCAUUGUGGCUCAGUGGAGAUGAAUCUGACUAGUAUCCAUGAGGACUCGGGUUGGAUCCCUGGCCUCACUCAGUGAGUUAAGGAUCUGGUAUUGUGGUGAGCUGUGAUGUAGGUUGAAGACACUGCUCAGAUCUGGAGUUGCUGUGACUGUGGUAUAGGCCAGAGGCUGCAGCUCUGAUUUGACCUCUAGCCUGGGAAACUCCAUUUGCUGAGGGUAAGGCCCUAAACACACACACACACACACACACAAUCAAUCAAUGAAGUUAUAUGUAGAUUCUUCUUUUUUUUUUUUUUUUUUUGGUGGUACCUGAGGCAUGUACAAAUUCCCAGGCCAGGGAUUGAACUGGCACCACAGCAGUGAGCCAAUUCACAGCAGUGACAAGUCUGGAUCCUUAACCAUUGAGCCAUCAGGAAACUCCAGGUGUAAAUUCUAUCAUCCAAAAUUUGAAUUGGCAAUGGUAGGAUGAAUUCACAAUUUUUCUCUUUCUACAAAAUAUAUCCUAGCAGUGUCUACUGAAAAGGCCAAGAAUCAAGGAUAAUCCAGACUAUGAACAGCCCUAGUGUUCAAAUUCAUAAUCUAAAUGCCAUUGCCACUGAGGAACCAGAAUUCCUUUAGGAAGUGACUAAUUUUAUUUAUUUUUAAAGCAUCUUUUUUCUUUCUGUCUUUAGUGCGACACCCUUGGCACAUGGAGAUUCCCAGGCUAGAGGCUGAAUUGGAGCUGCAACUUCCAGCCUACACCAGAGCCACAGCAACCCUGGAUCUGGGCUGUGUCUGUGACCUACACCACAGCUCACGGCAACGCCAGAUCCUUAACCUACUGAGCAAGGCCAGGGAUCGAACCUGUGUCCUCAUGGAUACUUCUCAGAUUCGUUUCUGCUGAGCUAAGAUUGGAACUCUGGAAGUGACUAAUUUUAGAACUGAGGUAAGGAUUGAGUAAGAUGAGCCCAUGGCAUUUAAUUGUAACAGAAAGUAAAGUAGCUAUCAAAUACUACUGAGGUUAUGUCAAGAAAAACCCCAAUGAUGAAGAGGCACCCUUGGCCAAAGAAGGAAAAAUUUGGGCUUAAAAAAUAAUGACUAGUUGGAGUUCCUGUCGCAGCUCAGUGGUAAUAAACCUGACUGGUAUCUGUUAAGAUACAGGUUCAAUCCCUGGCCUCACUCAGUGGACUGGGGAUCUGGCAUUGCCAUGAGCUGUGGUGCAGGUGGCAGACGUGGCUCAGAUCCUAUUUUGCCAGCAGCUGCAACUCCAAUUCGACCCCAAGCCUAGGAACUUCCAUAUGCUACAGGUG